rnacentral:tRNA from 1 species
CAAGGAAUAGUUUAUUUAAAAUUUUAAUUUUGGAGAUUAAAGAAGAAGAGCUUUCUUUUUCCUUGA